AAGUCGUAACAAGGUUUCCGUAGGUGAACCUGCGGAAGGAUCAUUACUGGGUUUGGGCUCUGCCCGCCACCCGCCCUCUGUUAUUUAGUGACUUGUUUCGGCCAGUGGGGCGACCCACGGCCGGCAGCAACUCUGAAGCAUCUUGAAGUCUGAUACACUGUCAAUAAAAAAAACUUUCAACAACGGAUCUCUUGGUUCUG
rnacentral:misc_RNA from 1 species